AUUGAACGCUGGCGGCAGGCCUAACACAUGCAAGUCGAGCGGAUGAAGGGAGCUUGCUCCUGGAUUCAGCGGCGGACGGGUGAGUAAUGCCUAGGAAUCUGCCUGGUAGUGGGGGAUAACGUCCGGAAACGGGCGCUAAUACCGCAUACGUCCUGAGGGAGAAAGUGGGGGAUCUUCGGACCUCACGCUAUCAGAUGAGCCUAAGUCGGAUUAGCUAGUUGGUGGGGUAAAGGCCUACCAAGGCGACGAUCCGUAACUGGUCUGAGAGGAUGAUCAGUCACACUGGAACUGAGACACGGUCCAGACUCCUACGGGAGGCAGCAGUAGGGAAUAUUGGACAAUGGGCGAAAGCCUGAUCCAGCCAUGCCGCGUGUGUGAAGAAGGUCUUCGGAUUGUAAAGCACUUUAAGUUGGGAGGAAGAGCAGUAAGUUAAUACCUUGCUGUUUUGACGUUACCAACAGAAUAAGCACCGGCUAACUUCGUG
rnacentral:rRNA from 1 species